AUUGAACGCUGGCGGCAGGCCUAACACAUGCAAGUCGAGCGGAAGAAGGGUACUUGCUCUUGCUUUCAGCUGGCGAGGGGUGGGCGAUUGCUAGGUACAUGCGUGGCUGCGGUGGCUAGGGGCCGGAAAUAGGCGCUAAUACCGCAAUCGUCCAGAGGACGAAAGUGGGUAAUCUUCGGACCUUCCGCUCUCGGUUGAGUCUAGGUCGGAUUAGCUAGUUGGUGGGGUAACGGCCUACCAAGGCGACGAUCCGUAACUGGUCUGAGAGGAUGAUCAGUCACACUGGAACUGAGACACGGUCCAGACUCCUACGGGAGGCAGCAGUGGGGAAUAUUGGACAAUGGGCGAAAGCCUGAUCCAGCCAUGCCGCGUGGGUGAAGAAGGUCUUCGGGUUGUAAAGCACUUUAGGUGGGGAGGAAGGGCAGUAGGUUAAUACCUUGCUGUUUUGACGGUACCAAAAGAAUAAGCACCGGCUAACUUCGUG
rnacentral:rRNA from 1 species